rnacentral:rRNA from 1 species
UACAGAGGGGGCAAGCGUUGUUCGGAAUUACUGGGCGUAAAGGGCGCGUAGGCGGCCUGUUAAGUCGAACGUGAAAUCCCCGGGCUCAACCCGGGAACUGCGUCCGAUACUGGCAGGCUUGAAUCCGGGAGAGGGAUGUGGAAUUCCAGGUGUAGCGGUGAAAUGCGCAGAUAUCAGGAAGAACACCAAUGGCGAAAGCAGCUCUCUGGGACGGUACUGACGGCUGAGACGCGAAAGCGUGGGGAGCGAACAGGG